GCCUGGGUGGCUUAGUUGGUUAAGCGUCCGACUUCAGCUCAGGUCAUGAUCUCACAGUUCGUGGGUUCAAGCCCCGCAUCAGGCC
rnacentral:tRNA from 1 species